rnacentral:rRNA from 1 species
GAAUUGACGGGGGCCCGCACAAGCAGCGGAGCGUGUGGUUUAAUUCGAAGCAACGCGAAGAACCUUACCAGGUCUUGACAUCCUCUGGAGUAUGCAGAAAUGCAUACGCCUUAUCGAAAGAUAAGGCAGAGAGACAGGUGGUGCAUGGUUGUCGUCCGCUCGUGUCGUGAGAUGUUGGGUUAAGUCCCGCAACGAGCGCAACCCUCGUUAAUAGUUGCUACGGUAAGAGCACUCUAUUAAGACUGCCGUUGAUAAAACGGAGGAAGGUGGGGAUGACGUCAAGUCAUCAUGCCCCUUAUGACCUGGGCUACACACGUACUACAAUGGCCGCAAACAGAGGGCAGCGAAGCCGCGAGGCGGAGCGAAUCCCAAAAAGCGGUCCCAGUUCAGAUUGCAGGCUGCAACCCGCCUGCAUGAAGACGGAAUUGCUAGUAAUCGCGGAUCAGCAUGCCGCGGUGAAUACGUUCCCGGGCCUUGUACACACCG